rnacentral:rRNA from 1 species
UACGGAGGGUGCAAGCGUUAUCCGGAUUCACUGGGUUUAAAGGGUGCGUAGGUGGGCAAGUAAGUCAGUGGUGAAAUCUCCGGGCUUAACCCGGAAACUGCCAUUGAUACUAUUUGUCUUGAAUACUGUGGAGGUCAGCGGAAUAUGUCAUGUAGCGGUGAAAUGCUUAGAUAUGACAUAGAACACCAAUUGCGAAGGCAGCUGGCUACACAAAUAUUGACACUGAGGCACGAAAGCGUGGGGAUCAAGCAGG